rnacentral:rRNA from 1 species
UACGGAGGAUGCAAGCGUUAUCCGGAAUGAUUGGGCGUAAAGCGUCCGCAGGUGGUUGUGUGUGUCUAUUGUCAAAGCAUCAUGCUUAACAUGAUAAAGGCAGUAGAAACUACACGACUAGAGUGCGUUCGGGGCAGAGGGAAUUCCUGGUGUAGCGGUGAAAUGCGUAGAGAUCAGGAAGAACACCGGUGGCGAAAGCGCUCUGCAAGGCCGCAAAUGACACUGAGGGAUGAAAGCUAGGGGAGCGAAUGGG